GAUAAACGCUGGCGGCGUGCCUAAUACAUGCAAGUCGAGCGAACAGACGAGGAGCUUGCUCCUCUGACGUUAGCGGCGGACGGGUGAGUAACACGUGGAUAACCUACCUAUAAGACUGGGAUAACUUCGGGAAACCGGAGCUAAUACCGGAUAAUAUAUUGAACCGCAUGGUUCAAUAGUGAAAGACGGUUUUGCUGUCACUUAUAGAUGGAUCCGCGCCGCAUUAGCUAGUUGGUAAGGUAACGGCUUACCAAGGCAACGAUGCGUAGCCGACCUGAGAGGGUGAUCGGCCACACUGGAACUUAGACACGGUCCAGACUCCUACGGGAGGCAGCAGUAGGGAAUCUUCCGCAAUGGGCGAAAGCCUAACGGAGCAACGCCGCGUGAGUGAUGAAGGUCUUCGGAUCGUAAAACUCUGUUAUUAGGGAAGAACAAAUGUGUAAGUAACUAUGCACGUCUUGACGGUACCUAAUCAGAAAGCCACGGCUAACUACGUG
rnacentral:rRNA from 1 species